AUGUUUUACAUUUCUGAUACAUUCUGGGAGCUGUUGUAUUCUCAGAAGUCACAGCCUGGAUCCCCAUGGACACCACUGGGAUUGGGUGCUCCCAGUGAGUGUCAGUGGACUGCAGCUUUGGCAUUUCAUCCUCAGAGAGACUGUGGAAAAAAGCCUUCAAAUGUUAUUAAAAAGCCCUGUAAUGAAGAGUCAUCCUGUCUGCUUCAGCUCUGGCUUUGCUUGUCAACUUCCUUUAUGAAUUGUGGGCUCUAAAUUUAACGUGACCCUCCAGUGGGAAUUGCACCAGUAAUACCAGGAGCACAGGAAGAUUUGCAUCCUUUGCUGCAGUACAGCCCUCAGAUGUUGUGUACAACUGAAGAGGAGCAUAAAAAUAGGUUCAGACCAAGGUUCCUCUAGCUCAGCAUUUCGUUUCUGACACUAGGCUGUAGUGGAUGGAUUCUGAAGGGUGGUAU
rnacentral:lncRNA from 1 species